rnacentral:lncRNA from 1 species
UUCGAAACAUCAUGGAUUCAUGGGUUCUUGUACAGAUGACCUGUUUCAACACGCGCUUGUGAAGUCUCUUCAAAGACUGGACAAAGCCGGACUGGAAAUUAAAGAGAAGUAAUUCGAAGCUUUAUCGUCCAUGGUAUGUUGUAUAUUAAAAGGAACAAGAACGACAUGUGACAUGUCUAAACGGCGGUGUGUGUCUGUUUACUGGGUUACAACAACGGCAAUAACAAUGAAUCACCUAACAUUUCAAGAAAAUAUAAAUUAUAGAUAGAUGUCAUGUAUGACGCCAUGAGUUUUGGAUUUGAAUUGCUAGAUUUAAAUCUGUAUUAUGUAUACAAAAUCAUGCGUGCGUAAAUUUGAGCAAAAAAGCACAAGGUGUUUGUUUGGCCAUAUGCCUAUCAUGUAGUAUGAAUAUUGAACACCAUUUUACUGUAUAUAGCACGUUUAAAACGUUAUUUCCAUGCUGGAUAAUCCUGAAUCCUUCACCGAUUAGAUGCCGUGGCAAAUGAAGAAAAAUAAUUAUGUAAAAUAAUUAACCUAAUAUGUCUUUGGCCAUGAAUGCAACUCACUAUGCUUCUUGAUACAUCUGACAGUCAAAACUAUGUGCAUGACUGUAUGGCUCAAUGUAUGUUAAUUGUUUCAGGGAAAUUUUUGUGUUCAGAUUAAAGUAUA